GGGAGGUUCGACUCGAGCGAAGCGAGAGAACGUUGCGCCAGCAACGGCCCGCAGGGCGAGCCACGAAGUGGCGAGUAAUCCUCUAUCACCGACCA
rnacentral:sRNA from 1 species